rnacentral:rRNA from 1 species
UACGUAGGGGGCAAGCGUUGUCCGGAAUCAUUGGGCGUAAAGAGCGUGUAGGCGGCCAGAUAAGUCCGCUGUGAAAUCUCGAGGCUCAACUUCGAGCUGUCGGUGGAAACUGUCUGGCUAGAGUCCGGAAGAGGAGAAUGGAAUUCCUGGUGUAGCGGUGAAAUGCGCAGAUAUCGGGAGGAAUACCUAUGGCGAAAGCAGGCUACUGGACCGUCACUGACUCUGAUCUGCGAAAGCUAGGGGAGCAAACAGG